rnacentral:rRNA from 1 species
UACAGAGGGUACGAGCGUUAAUCGGAAUUACUGGGCGUAAAGCGCGCGUAGGCGGCUUUGCAAGUCGGGUGUGAAAUCCCCAGGCUUAACCUGGGAACUGCAUUCGAGACUGCAUUGCUAGAGUAUGGGAGAGGGAAGUGGAAUUUCCGGUGUAGCGGUGAAAUGCGUAGAUAUCGGAAGGAACAUCAGUGGCGAAAGCGACUUCCUGGACCAAUACUGACGCUCAUGUGCGAAAGCGUGGGGAGCAAACAGG